ensembl:lncRNA
GUCUGCUCACCCUCGGAUGUUGCUGUGUGUUCCGUUACCUGUUUUGCCUGCCUGUUAGUUUAUUUUUCCUCAGUGCGGCGCACGGAGCUUUCCGCUACACACUGGCGACCGCCAUUGGAGACUGGAAUCUCAACACAGCUGCUGCGGAAUUCCUCCUCAUGCCAUUCUGAGCCUAACUCACCGGCCUCUUUCUUGGCAGCAAUGUGGUCAGAGGAUGAAGAGCAAGCCUUCAUCGCUCCACCAUCACCAGUUUCCUCCAUCACCUCUGUUCCCUCAUCAGGGAGGAAACGUCGUUCACGCCACCGGCAUCCCUUAACUCAGCCGGAUUCUGGGACUUCUGAGCAGCCGGCUGGGGAGGGUACUAUUAUUGUCACAGAGAGAGCUGUCUGACUGAGGUACUGCAACAGCAGAGGGGCACCAAUACUCCUUGGAAGCGUGUAGUCCGCCAAACCAACGAAGAAGAAGAGAGCGCCACUUCUAACGGUCCAGACUCCGCUCAGCAAGGGACUGUCAGCAGCACCCUGCACUGAACCUUCUAUUUCAAUAUCCAAAUCAGUGUGGAGCAGAAUGCACCAUAGAGAUUUACAACUCUCCUGUUGAAUGCCUAAAGACUGAAGACUGCAAGGAAAGAACGCUAAUCUACACUGAGCAUCUGACAAGACUUGCAUCCAAGUCCUCAAACAUAUUGAAUCCAAAACCUGUUCCAGUUCCUCAGACACCAUCAGACUGUUUUGAAAGCCCUUUUACUAUCAAGUCUGGAUAAAAAAACUUUGUCAACCACUGCAAGUAUCAAGUAUUUAAAAAAAAAAAAAAAAAAAAAAAAAAAAUUAUUUGACUGUUUAUUUUGUACUUAUUUGUUUUUGGUUGUAUUAAGUUUGAUAUUAAUUAGAUCAGUGCCUUUUUAGUCAUUAAUUUGAUUAUUUAAUAUUAACUGUUAUGUUUAUUGCCACAUUUGUUGGACCUUAAUUUUUUUAGACGACAUUCUGGCUACAACAGCUGACAAUAAUUUACUGUAAAUAUGAACUUUUGAAUAAAAAACAUGUUUUGUAUUAUACAGCUCUUCUGUGCUUUGUCAAUAGGAGACGGUAAUCAAGCUUAUUAAAAUUGUAUUUUAACCGGUUUACAUUAUAUUAGGUUUUUUAUUUCAAUGUAAUUAUUGUACAAAAACCAAAGUUCACUCUGAAUUUUACAUUUCUCAACGAAGUAUGCU